AAACAAUUUUUUAGUAGGUUGUGUGAGCUAUUAUUUUGUGAAAAGUGGUAGAAGUCAAAGAUAGUAUAGCUAUAUUCUAGUACCUUUUGCAUAAGGGUUUUUCAAGACAAUUUUAGUUAUCUAAAAUUCCCGAAUAAAAGAGAGUUAUUCUUCUUGAGUUAAAAAAUCGUGGCAGAGAUUGUUAUAAACUGGAGAAUAGCGGCUAGAUACUAUUCGCGCUUUUAGAUAUCUGGUUAGCUUAAAAAUAUGUGUAAGCAUUGCUCUCAGUUAAUUUGAGGGUAAGAUUUUUUGGGUUAAGCUGAAAAAUUUGGAAAUUGAGUUUAAUAAAAAAAGUUGGUUUUAAUAGGCUUUAAACUGGCUAUUUUGCAGUAAUCUAUUUUAAGUAAAACCAAGAAGUAGACAUAAUUAAUUAAUUUAGUCAUUUGUGUAGGAUAGGCUUAUGGUUAUGAAUACCAAUAAUAAUGAUAAAAACGAGUAAAAAUUUUCCUUAUUUGGUGUUAUAUUUAAGUAUCACUUUGAAAGUCAGAGAAUUUAAUAAAAUUUUUUUAAUGAACUCGGCAAACAAACACUUCUCGACUGUUUAACAAAAACAUUUCCUUUUGGUAUAAAUAAAAGGUAAUCCCUGCCCAGUGCAGCUAAAGUAAUGUUUGUUGUAAACGGCGGCGUUAACGUGAGCGUCCUAAGGUAGCGCGAUAAUUUGCCUUUUAAUUGAAGGAUGGUAUGAAUGGGUUAACGAAGAAGUUGCUGUGUCUAAAAAAUUGAUUUAAACUAACUUUAAGGUGAAGAGGCCUUAAUACAAAAGAAGGACGACAAGACCCUAUGAAGCUUUAUCUUAGUAGGGGCUUAUUAAGCCCUUAUACGAUUUUGAUGGGAAAUCAGUAAAAAUAAGUCUUUUGCUUUCAUGUUAAUCAGACAAGUAUUUCCUAAUUUUAUAUGUAUGUCUAGCUACUCUAGGGAUAACAGCGCAAUUUCUCCCGAAAGAUGGUAUUGGAGGGGAAGAUUGCGACCUCGAUGUUGGCUUUAGAUAUCCCGGAGGUGUAGAGACUCCCAACGGUGGGUCUGUUCGCCCUUUAAAAUCUAACAUGAGCUGAGUUCAGAACGGCGUAAGCUAGUUCAGUUUCUAUCCUCUUUUUUAAAAAUAGUUAAUUUUGUACGAAAGGACUUUUUUGCUAAAGUAAUGCUUUAUAGCUUAUCUGUUAUUACGCAUAAAUAACGAGGGAAUGGGCUGAGUGACCCACAAUAAAGGUGU
rnacentral:rRNA from 1 species